UACAGAGGGUGCGAGCGUUAAUCGGAAUUACUGGGCGUAAAGGGUGCGUAGGCGGUUAAUUAAGUUAGGUGUGAAAGUCCCGGGCUUAACCUGGGGAGGCCGCCUAAUACUGAUUGGCUAGAGGACUGUAGAGGAAGGUGGAAUUUCCGGUGUAGCGGUGAAAUGCGUAGAUAUCGGAAGGAACACCAGUGGCGAAGGCGACCUUCUGGACAGUUACUGACGCUGAGGCACGAAAGCAUGGGGAGCAAACAGG
rnacentral:rRNA from 1 species